UAUAUAUAAUACGUGUAAAGAAAGGUUUAGCUUUAUAAAUUAUAAAGUGAUCAACUCAAUUUCUAUUUGUUACAUUGUACGAAGAAAUAUAGAUAAAAUUAUGAAGUUUGUUUAUAUUAUGACUCUAUUUCUUUCCCUUUCUCUUGUUGCAGCUAACUUUGACCAUUAUUAUGAAUGUCAUACUGAUGUUCAAUGUGAAAAAAUAGUUAAGUGUAAGCUUCCAGCGAUUUCGUAUUGUCGAAAUUACAAAUGUAUUUGUGACACUCCUAGAAGAACUCUUAGAAAAAGUAUGAAUGCAAGACCAAAGAGAGUGCAAAUUUCCUAUAUGGUAUAAUGACUUUUUAAACGGGCAAAAUAUCAAAUUGUUUAUAACAAAAUAUUUCAUGAUAUGUCGUUUAAGUAUUACGUUGGCAAUAUUUAAAUUUGUUUUCUUUUUAUUUUUCCAUUCUUAAUUUCACAAACCAUGCAGUUAUGAUUUUGUAAUUUAAGAUGGUGGUAGUAAAAAGAAAUAAAGCAGCAAAUGCUUUAAUUUCAAUUGAAUUUCUCUGUAACACCUUAUUUUCCUUAUACUAUUAUUUAGUAUUAUAUAUUA